UCGGGAAUUUUGGGCAAUGGGCGAAAGCCUGACCCAGCAACGCCGCGUGAAGGAUGAAGUAUUUCGGUAUGUAAACUUCGAAAGAAUAGGAAGAAUAAAUGACGGUACUAUUUAUAAGGUCCGGCUAACUACGUGCCAGCAGCCGCGGUAAUACGUAGGGACCAAGCGUUGUUCGGAUUUACUGGGCGUAAAGGGCGCGUAGGCGGCAAUUCAAGUCAUCUGUGAAAUCUCCGGGCUUAACUCGGAACGGUCAGAUGAUACUGCUUUGCUAGAGUGCAGAAGGGGCAAUCGGAAUUCUUGGUGUAGCGGUGAAAUGCGUAGAUAUUGGGAAGAACACCAGUGGCGAAGGCGGCUAACUGGUCCGGUACUGACGCUGAGGUGCGAAAGCGUGGGGAGCAAACAGGAUUAGAUACCCUUGUAGUCCCUGAGCGGGCUGGCAAGGCGCAU
rnacentral:rRNA from 1 species